rnacentral:rRNA from 1 species
GCCUGUUUAUCAAAAACAUGUCUUUUUGAGAAUAAUUUAAAGUCUAAUCUGCCCACUGAUAUAUUAUUGAAGGGCUGCAGUAUUUUGACUGUACAAAGGUAGCAUAAUCAUUAGUCUCUUAAUUGGUGACUUGUAUGAAAGAUUGGAUGAGAUAUAAACUGUCUCAAAAAUAAUUAAUUGAAUUUAAUUUUUUAAUUAAAAAGUUAAAAUAUGUUAAAAAGACGAGAAGACCCUAUAGAGUUUUAUAUUAAAUGAUAUUUAAAUUAUUUAUAAAUUUCAUUAAUUAUAAAUUUUAUUUAAUAUUUUGUUGGGGUGAUAGAAAAAUAGAAAAAACUUUUUUUAAAAAUAGCCAUUAAUAAGUGAAUAUUUGAUCCAAUUUUAUUGAUUAUAAGAAAAAAUUACCUUAGGGAUAACAGCGUAAUUUUUUUUUUUAGUUCUUAUAAGAAGGAAAGUUUGCGACCUCGAUGUUGGAUUAAGAUAAAAUUUAA